CCUACGGGCGGCAGCAGUCGAGAAUCAUUCACAAUGGGGGAAACCCUGAUGGUGCGACGCCGCGUGGGGGAAUGAAGGUCUUCGGAUUGUACACCCCUGUCAUGUGGGAGCAAAUUAAAAAGAUAGUACCACAAGAGGAAGAGACGGCUAACUCUGUGCCAGCAGCCGCGGUAAUACAGAGGUCUCAAGCGUUGUUCGGAAUCACUGGGCGUAAAGCGUGCGGAGGCUGUGACGUAAGUCGUGUGUGAAAGGAGAGGGCUCAACCCGCGGACGGCACAUGAUACUGCGAGACUAGAGUAAUGGAGGGGGAACCGGAAUUCUCGGUGUAGCAGUGAAAUGCGUAGAUAUCGGGAGGAACACUCGUGGCGAAGGCGGGUUCCUGGACAUUAACUGACGCUGAGGCACGAAGGCCAGGGGAGCGAAAGGGAUUAGAUACCCCAGUAGUC
rnacentral:rRNA from 1 species